CCUACGGGCGGCUGCAGUGGGGAAUAUUGGACAAUGGGCGAAAGCCUGAUCCAGCCAUGCCGCGUGUGUGAAGAAGGCCUUCGGGUUGUAAAGCACUUUCAGUGGGGAAGAAAGCCUUGGGGCUAAUACCCUCGAGGAAGGACAUCACCCACAGAAGAAGCACCGGCUAACUCCGUGCCAGCAGCCGCGGUAAUACGGAGGGUGCGAGCGUUAAUCGGAAUUACUGGGCGUAAAGCGCGCGUAGGCGGUCUGAUAAGCCGGUUGUGAAAGCCCCGGGCUCAACCUGGGAACGGCAUCCGGAACUGUCAGGCUAGAGUGCAGGAGAGGAAGGUAGAAUUCCCGGUGUAGCGGUGAAAUGCGUAGAGAUCGGGAGGAAUACCAGUGGCGAAGGCGGCCUUCUGGACUGACACUGACGCUGAGGUGCGAAAGCGUGGGUAGCAAACAGGAUUAGAUACCCCUGGUAGUC
rnacentral:rRNA from 1 species